UUCACGGAGAGUUUGAUCCUGGCUCAGGACGAACGCUGGCGGCGUGCUUAACACAUGCAAGUCGAACGAUGAU
rnacentral:rRNA from 1 species